GAUUCUCGUUUGAUCACCGAAGUUAAGCAGCAUCGAGCCCGAUCAGUAUUUAGAUGGGAGACCACUUGGGGACAGCGGGUACUGUA